GCGCCUUGCCAGCCCGCUCAGAAACUACAAAGGAAUUGACGGGGGCCCGCACAAGCGGUGGAGCAUGUGGUUUAAUUCGAUGAUACGCGAGGAACCUUACCAGGGCUUGACAUACGCUGGAAUGGGCGGGAGACCGUCCAGCCUUUCGGGGCCGGCGUACAGGUGCUGCAUGGCUGUCGUCAGCUCGUGCUGUGAAGUGUUGGGUUAAGUCCCGCAACGAGCGCAACCCUUGCCUUUAGUUGCCAGCAGUUCGGCUGGGCACUCUAAAGGGACUGCCGGUGUUAAACCGGAGGAAGGUGGGGAUGACGUCAAGUCCUCAUGGCCUUUAUGACCAGGGCUACACACGUACUACAAUGGCCGAUACAAAGGGCAGCGACACUGCGAGGUGAAGCCAAUCCCGUAAAAUCGGUCUCAGUCCGGAUUGGAGUCUGCAACUCGACUCCAUGAAGUUGGAAUCGCUAGUAAUCGUGGAUCAGCAUGCCACGGUGAAUACGUUCCCGGGCCUU
rnacentral:rRNA from 1 species